rnacentral:lncRNA from 1 species
AUAGAUUUUGGGGUGAUCCCAUAGAUUAUGGGGUGCCCCCAUGGCUUAUAGGGUGUCCGCGUGUCAUUUUGGGGUGCCACCAUGGCUUAUGGGGUGUCCCCAUGGAUUUUGGGGUGUCCUGUGUCAUUUUUGGGGCAUCCUAUGGCAUUUUUGGGGUGACCCCAUAGAUUAUAGGAUGUCCCCGUGUCAUUUUGGGGUGUCCACAUGGAUUUUGGGGUGUCCUGUGUCAUUUUGGGGUGACCCCAUGGAUUAUUGGGUGUCCCCAUGGGUUAUGGGGUGUCCCCGUGCCAUUUUGGGGUGACCCCAUGUCAUUUUUGGGGUGAUCCCAUGGAUUUUGAGGUGUCCCCAUGGCAUCUUUGGGGUGACCCCAUAGAUUAUGGGGUCCACCAUGGAUUAUGGGGUCCGCCAUGGGUUAUAGGAUGCCCCCAUGGGUUAUGGGGUGUCCCCGUGCCAUUUAGGGGUGUCCCCGUGCCAUUUUGGGGUGACCCCAUGUCAUUUUUGGGGUGUCCCCAUAGAUUAUGGGGUCCGCCAUGGCUUAUAGGAUGCCCCCUUGGGUUAUGGGGUGUCCCCAUGGGUUAUGGGGUGUCCCCGUGCCAUUUUGGGGUGACCCCAGGUCAUUUUUGGGGUGAUCCCAUGGAUUUUGGGGUGUCCCUAUGGCAUUUUUGGGGUGACCCCAUGGAUUAUAGGAUGUCCCCGUGUCAUUUUGGGGUGUCCACAUGGAUUUUGGGGUGACACCAUGUCAUUUUGGGGCGUCCCAUGGCAUUUUGGGGUGACCCCAUAGAUUAUGGGGUGUCCCCAUGUCAUUUUUGGGGUGUCCCCAUGGAUUUUGGGGUGUCCUGUGUCAUUUUUGGGGCAUCCUAUGGCAUUUUUGGGGUGACCCCAUAGAUUAUGGGGUGUCCCUAUGUCAUUUUUGGGGUGUCCCAUGGAUUUUGGGGUGUCCCCGUGUCAUUUUGGGGUGCCCCCAUGUCUUAUGGGAUGUCCCCACGGAUUUUGGGGUGUCCUGUGUCAUUUUUGGGGCAUCCUAUGGCAUUUUUGGGGUGACCCCAUAGAUUAUAGGAUGUCUCUGUGUCAUUUUUGGG